ACAAACAUGAAUAUAAAUGCUUUAGUAUGAAGAAGCCAUUGAUAGUUGUAAUAACUUUGCAUUGUUAAUUGGUAUCUUACAAAUUACAACUUAUUAUGCAAACAAAAUUAUGUUGGUCUAUAAAUAUUGGUUAAAUGUACAUGUUUCCUGUACAUUUAUAAAUUCUCCAUAUGAAAAAUACUCAAAUGCUAAAAGCAAAAAUGUUAUCAGUUGAAAAGCAGCUAUUUUAUGACUUUUUAAAGCAAGUUAUGUCUGUUAUUUUUCACCUGUUUCAAAGGAAUGCAUAAGAUGCUUUUAUAAGUGUUUUUGUUCAUGUAUAACAUACUUAGCACUUACUACAGAUGAAUGCUGUAGACUACUUAAUUUCAAAUGCCUACAUUUUCAAAACAAUGAAGACAUAUUACUGACCAUAAAAUGGAAAUAGCAACCAUUCAAAAUAGUUGAACAUUUAUUGUGUCAUUUACUCUACGGAGGCAAUCUCAUUAUUAAAGAAGUUAUAGCCAGUUUAUGUGCAUAUGUAGGUGCAAGUAUCUAUAAUGUACAUUAUAAUUUGUAACUAUCAAAUAUGUAAGUGUAAUGAAUAUCGGUUUAUUUUGAAUACAAGCUUAUAUAAAACAAAGA
rnacentral:lncRNA from 1 species